UCUACCCCCCCAGGGGAGAGUUGGAAUAUUUCGUCUAAGGGACACGGGGCAGAAGGGCGGGGUCCUGACCGCAUUUGAAAUGUAGCUGGCCACUGACAGAGGCAACUUCCCAGGAAGCAAAGUCACAUGCAGGGUGAGCCUCGGGGAGACUGCUUCUGAAAACUGCUGCGUGAGAGGAACAGAAAGGAAACGGUCUCAACCGGAGGAAGCGUCAAAAAAUGCUUACCUAGGAAGCCUCAGAAAACAUGAAGUACCUGGCUACAAAAGUUAAGAAGAUGCAGGGGAUUUGCACGUAAUCAGUAGGGCUUUCUGCUUCUUUUCUCUCGGCAUGGGGUGGCCUCAAGCUUACUGUAUAUUUUUCUUCUAACCAAAAGUAGGCAAAGCUGAUUUCCUCGCUACUUUAACUGGAUGGAUCAAGGAGGAUGUGUUGUCAAUUUCUGGAAUGUUAUUGAGACAAGUCGCUGAGAAGUGUAGCUCAAGGGCUAUAUCAACAGGUCUCCCUUAAACUUUGCUCUUUUUCAUUCCCUUUUUCUCCUGAGUCUUUCCCCGACCCGACCCCUCAACUCAGCGCUACCAGGCUUAGCUGUACAAAGUUGGUAAACUAGCAGCUUCAUACAGCUGUUACUCCACCUAGCCUGUAAAGAGGAAACCUGGAAUGGAGAGAAUAAAUCAGCAUAAGGGGAGGUUAGAGUGGGGAGGCAGGACAAAAGAUGAGGAGGAAAUAGGGAAUGUUGGCACCUGCACUUGGAAUCGGGAUGCCCGCACAUGGGAGUCAGCUGACGUGGCCUCUCCACCCUUGUUUGACAUGGAGAGUUGCAUCCUGAAAUCUACAAAGUUUAAGAAGAGAAAUAAAUGGAAAUCCCUUGAUGGCAGGAAUAAGAAGGAGAGGGCCAGUCAGUGCCACCUGCCCCCAGCCUGUCGACUCAGUGGUAGUUUUGCUGGUCACAGGGGGGGCAUCAAGCCUUGGGCACGGGACUGUGACCUGAGGCUAAGAUCCUGCUGCCCUAAUGGAGAUGGAGGGAAGGAGAUGUGUCUUUGGCUCUGCUGGAGGUGGAGGGCCCUAGCUGAAAUUCCUGUUGUGCAAUCCUCCAAAGGGUUUCUCCGUUUGUAAAAAUGAAAAAGUCUGUCUCCUGGCUCAGUGGCAUGGCAAGAAAGCACAGAGUCUGUCUCAGGCUCUAAGUGGAUUUUUUAAAAUCAGAAGAAUAUAUUUGAGAAGCCUAAACACCACGUCUACACCAAACACCAGAGUAAGUUCUAAACUUACGUGAUAACCCCAAGGUAAGAAACCAAUACAGAGUGGUCCAGGAUUCAUUGUGCUUUUGGGAGAAGAGUAGAACAUUUUGUUGCAGGACCACCUGGACUAUAUAAAACACCCACAGAAAAGACUGCCCCACUGAAGAAGAGCUCACAAUAAAAUAAAUAAUUACAACUCAGACAAGGAAAAAAAAGAACCAUGAAGGAGAAUUGUCAAGAUAGUAUACAGGAGAACUAGCAUCCCAAGAAUAGAAACAGAAAGAAAACCAGCUGAAAGAGAUGAUAGGGUAUUCCCAGUGGUCACAGAAAACAUGAAAUAAGGAUAGAAGGCAGUAAAGGCUGGCUGUUGCAGGAGGACUCUCUAGGAGGCACUACAGUACAAUGGUGAAUAGUCAACACCUUGGCAAGUUGUGGAAGCUAUUCUGAGUCUCCAUCUUUCUUAGAACCUCACUGGAUGAGAAUUUUUAUUCUGCGAAUCAGCUCAGAGAUUUAACUGUUUUUCAGAGAUUCAUUCCAAGAGGGUGUAGGGCACAGUGGCUAUGAAAGUGGUUUCCAAAGCUGGGGUGUCUGGCUUGAUUCUUCGUUCUUUCAUUGGCCACGGACCUUGAGCAAGUUGAUGAAACCAAUCCAAGUCCCAGCUUUUGAACCUGAAAAGUGGAAACUCCAAUACUAUUUAAAAUUAGUUAAACAAGAUGACCAGUAGAUACUGGUGGUUCUAAUGCUUCGGCAGCCUACAUAACCAACCCCAAACCUAUGCUUAUAAAACCCUAAAGGUUAAGCAAUCAAAACCUAAGAGAGUCACAAACAGCCAACACGGCUUCCGAAAUAAGGCCAAUGCUUAAGCUGUAGCCAAUCAAAGAGUUUCCUUGUUUUGGUUUUGCACCUCCUCUGUUAAAGUUCUCCCCUGGCUCCUGUUUGUGCUUCUAACCGCUUCUGGGUUUAGCGUUGCCUGACUUGAAUAAAUUUUUGCACAGAUAAACUCUUAAAA